GGAGAGAUGCCGGAGCGGCUGAACGGGACGGUCUCGAAAACCGUUGUGGGGGCAACCCCACCGAGGGUUCGAAUCCCUCUCUCUCCGCCA
rnacentral:tRNA from 2 species